UUCAUAUAAAAAAAGAAGAUGUGGUAUGAUUGCCAAUGAGACAACUAUCCACAAAAGACCAAAAUGACACAGACAUUAACAACUAUAGGUCACCUUACGGCCUUCAACAAUGAGCAAAGCCCAUACCGCAUAGUCAGCUAUAAAAGGCCCCGAUAAGACAAUGUAAAACAAUUCAAACGAGAAAACUAACGGCCUUAUUUAUGUAAAAAAAAUGAACGAAAAACAAAUAUGUAACACAUAAACAAACGACAACCACUGAAUAUACAGGCUCCUGACUUGGGAAAGGCACAUACAUAAAUAAUGUGGCGGGGUUAAACAUGUUAGCGGGAUCCCAACCCUCCCCCUAACCUGGAACAGUGGUAUAACAGUACAACAUAAGAACGAACUAUAAAAAUCAGUUGAAAAAAGGCUUAACUCAUCAGAUGGACAAAAAUAUAAGUGGACGUGGCCGGGUACUUAUACAUCCCGACACAAAAAAGACACAAUGAACAGAUCUGAGAGUACUCGCAGUUAUCUGACAGCUAGUUCAAAGCCACUAACAACUAAUAAAAAAUCAUGCAUUUAAGACUAAACUAUCAAUCCGUACACAUCCAACAUCCAAUGGAUUUAGUGUAAAGACAUCAUAAACAGCCAGAGAAAAACAUGACCUUGUGCAAUGCCAAGUUACAGGUAUCGACAGAUUGUAGAUCAAU
rnacentral:lncRNA from 1 species